GACGAACCGUGCGAACGUUGUUCGGAAUCAUUGGGCGUAAAGGGUGCGUAGGCGGCGCGGUAAGUCGGGUGUGAAAUCUCGGAGCUUAACUCCGAAACUGCAUUCGAUACUGCCGUGCUUGAGGACUGGAGAGGAGACUGGAAUUUACGGUGUAGCGGUGAAAUGCGUAGAUAUCGUAAGGAAGACCAGUGGCGAAGGCGGGUCUCUGGACAGUUCCUGACGCUGAGGCACGAAGGCCAGGGGAGCAAACGGG
rnacentral:rRNA from 1 species